AGCAUGUAUUGUGAAACGAACACAACCAACAAAUGUGAAAUAAAUCUAACAAAGAAAAGGUACGAAUGGACCUCAAUGAGUCAUCUGUAAAUUGGGUUGGCGUCGCCAACACUGAAAUUGAUUUCCGAUUAACAGAAGUUUAGCAACUAUGGAGGCUAAAAAUCAAACAUUCAAUUGAUGAAUUUUUCAGUAAUACACGGGCAGAAAUUGAGCAAACGCUAUAACCAAACUUGAGACAGCAGUCAAACUCAAACGAGUUCGAGAACCGCACUGCGAACGACACCUCAAACUUGAUCGAACUCCACAUUUUGAAGUGAAAUCUCUCGUUCUCUCAUUGUUGCUCUUUGUUCGUCUGGGUGUGUGGGUAUGUGUAUCUCUGUUUGAAGGAGUGAUAAAGGUUCUUAGGGGAGUGAGGUGCGGUGCCAAUUUUUGUGAAGGGGAGUGGUUAAGUUCAGAGAGACGAUGUCCGCUGCUGUUGCUAGGUCUCUUCCAUGGAAGUGAGUGGCUAUUUUCGCCAACAAGAAAAAGAUCCGCUGACUGUCUCUGUUUUUACUUGAAGCACAUCCCUCUUUAAGGAAACGGUAGAUCCUCUUUGUAUUGUGUGUUCAAGUUGCUCCUUAG
rnacentral:lncRNA from 1 species